rnacentral:rRNA from 1 species
UACGUAGGGUGCAAGCGUUAAUCGGAAUUACUGGGCGUAAAGGGCGCGUAGGCGGCCUGUUAAGUCCCGUGUGAAAUCCCUCGGCUCAACCGAGGAACUGCACGGGAAACUGGCGGGCUUGAGUUCGGGAGAGGGAAGCGGAAUUCCGGGUGUAGCGGUGAAAUGCGUAGAUAUCCGGAGGAACACCGGUGGCGAAGGCGGCUUCCUGGACCGACACUGACGCUGAGGCGCGAAAGCUAGGGGAGCAAACGGG